UAUGGAAAUCGCUAGAUAGUAUACUUCAAAAUAAGGUAACCGCGAGAAGACUGGGUACGAGUUUGCCAAAAUCUUCGGAAAUCAGUUACGAGCGUUCUACGAGGAAAACCAAAAGCACAAUGAUAUUCAAAUGUCAGACUUGGAUAUAAAAUUCGAUUUCAUGUUAUUUGAUUUUUCCUUCGACUCUCGCCUUUUCGAGCAAAAAUAUCCUUCAUCGAUUCUGACAAGUAUUGUCAUUGUUCUAAUCUGAUCGUCGUACUAAAGAAGACCGUGUCUAAAUGAAAAUUAAAGGUGAAGUAGAAAUAUAUUUUUCAUUUUUAUAUAAAUAUUUGGUGAAUAAAUAUAUUUCAAACAUAUCAAGUACACACAAUAUAAACACUAAUCCAAUAUAAACUAUAUGAUAUAUCAAUAGACUAUGUCGUAUAGGUCAAGUGUAUACUGUAUAGUAUAUACAAGCUGUAAUGCUGGUGACAUUCAAUAUUAACUGUAGAUACAUGCUAUAAACUGUUAACUGUACUGUAUGGACUGUUGACGUCUGUACUGUGUUAAUAAUUUUUAAUAUAAUAAUAUUUAUACACCAAAAAUUGGAAGGUGUAAUACCCACACCCCAAGGAUAGGUGGGACAUUAGCCGUCUUGCAGUAUGUAAUUAUAUAUAGGCAGAAAUGGUCUCGAGUACUGGUGCAACUCAAUGGGUUAAACUAAUAUCUAAACAUAAUGUUUGUAACUCCACAAUUUACAUACUAGGUGUAACGAGUCUGCAAUGCAGUGAGAAUCAAACCCAUAAUUUAAUUUACGUCAAAUAAAUUUUUAAAAUAUUAGGUCACAAUUUCCAAACUUUGCCUUGGAUGCAUUUUUCUGGAAUGAUCCGGCAUUUUCAAUCAAAAGUGCAAAUUGCCAUGAAUUCCAAUGCUCUACUGAAAGUUGUGGGUUUUCUCCAGGCACUGCAGUUCCCUAUCACAAUGACUGACCAUAGUUGUGCUCCAUGGUUAGACAUUAAUCGUAAGGUGGCUGCCGGAGGUACCCUUUGAAAGCCUUUGACUCAAUCGUGUUGAGGUUGUGUCCUUCAAUUUACAAUUCAGCUUAGCUUUCAGCUGCGAGGAUAAUUAGCACACUGCCACUGUACUUGUCUAUAUACAGUGGUGAUGUUAGGAAUUCACUGACAAGGGGGGUAAGGUUCUUGACAGGAGGAGCUAAGCAGUGACAGGGGGGUGAGUUCUUGAACUAGUGUUUAGGCGUAAAAAAAAAUACCUGUGGUUCCGGUUCCCGACCGACCCUAUUUUUUUCUGCCGACCCUAUUAUUUUUUCAACGCAAUUGACCGUGCGACCCUAUUUUCUCCAGGUGGUUGCGGGCUGCUCAUACAGCGUGCCAAAAUGGCGUCUGUUGUCACACUAAUUAUUGAACCAAAUUGCCUAAAUUCGUCCAUAGGAAAUACGCAUCUCUAGUUAAUAUUGAUGUCGGGACUCUACUGCAAAUCGCCCAGCAAAAAAUCGCCAAAACCAUGAAAAAAAUAUUCAAAAAAAAAAUUUAUUUCCGACCUACCGACCCUAAUUUUUUCACAAUAUGAAACCGGAACCACAGGGGUUUUUUUUACGCCUUAACAUAUUUUCUUUCCCAACAAUGUGGACCCACAGUAAAAUGGCCUUAGUGGACCGACAAUAAAUGACCCUAGCUGUUGCAGGCUCCAAGCUUGAAAGGCAAGUUGUAAAUAAAUAAAUAAAUAAAAUUGCUAACUUUUCCCCAAUGGGGGCUGGGUCUUGGGGUCCCCAACUGGGGUUGUAGAUUAGCCCCAGCCCUCCUCUGGCUCCACCCCUAGGUACCUAUAUAGUUACAAGACUAGUAUAUAGUGUGGUUAACUUAUUAAAUACCAACUCAGAAACAUUUUCAGCACUUUAUCAUGAUUGACCUCUCCCGAAUGUGACAUGGCUGUUUCUUGAGUUUAUGUGGGAACAUGGUGAUUUCUUUUUGUUCAAGACAUUGCUGUAGAUGUGGACGCAUCUGGCUCUGCUCAAAAAUGACUGCUCCAGGAUAUAUUCCAUUAGCAAGAGCUACUGCAUUGGCUAUGGCAAAUAAUCCACAGUCAACAAAACCUGACUGCUUCUGGCAGCACCGGAGUUUCACGUGCAACAGACAUCCUUUUGCCAGACUCUUGUAUACAUAUACCAACUGUUUACACAAAGGACUUGUCAGUCCAGGAUACAGAGAGUCAUAGACAAUCACUGAUUGUCCAUUUGACUGAGAUACAAGCCAAUGUCCAGGAAUGUUAUGGAUCUGAAUAAUGUUCGACAUUGAAGUUGAGGAACCUUUACUAGGAAGUUGAUUUGAUACUCUUAAAGUAUCUGUCAAGCCACUAAUGUUAGGAAAUUGGUUUUUUAAAAGAAUUUGGGCUGCAUUGAUGUGGUUAUCAUUAAGAAGUUUUCCAGAAGUAAGUGCUGUUUUAUCUGCCAGAGAUAAAGUCAAAUUGGCAAGACAUACCCAGGGCUGUUUUGGUGGAAGACUUUUGCACGGCUUUUUACUGGGUGAGCUCAGGUCUAUUAUAUCUGUUCUUGACGAUUUUCUUUUCUUAGGCUUUUCUGCAGCUAGUGGCACAUGCACUUUGUAGUUUUUUCUCAUAAUUUCAGAAUGCUUCCCAACUCGGCCAGUGUAGGGAUGUUUCGGGCGGCCAUAUGAUCUUUUCAUUAGUGUUUCAAUGUUCCUCUGUUUCUUUUGACUAGUUUUUGUGUUGGUGCUAUUUGUUUUUCUAAUGGGAUUCCUCUUCGGGUGCGUUGUUUGUAUGAUAAUUCCUGUUUCCUGUGGUGCUUCUUUGCGUGCUUUUUUUAAUGUUGCUUCGAGAUCAUUAACAAGGGAGGAAAGUUGCUCCUUGUCAUCUAUAAGAAAUGUCAGGCUUGAAAGUUCUUUCAUUAAAUUUCGGCAUUUAAGACGAAGAGCAUUUUUGCCACUAGUCCUUUUAGGUGGUAGUGGUGCAAAAUCAUCGCUGUCCAUUGUAUCUGUCUCAUUCAUUAUGGUUCUUGGUGGUGUAUGCUGCUGAUCUGUAUUUACUUGAUUUUUAGGUGGGGUGUUGUCUGCUGGCACGAUAGUUUCAUCCAAGGAAAACAGCGGAUUGCUUCUAUAUUUGUUACUCAGUUUUUCCCAUCUCCAUUCUGGAAAAGCUUUCAUGCAUGCACAGAAGUGCUUGCACAGAAGCUUGUUGUGUCUCCAGUCCAGGCAAGUGCAGUUUGGGAAAUUUUUAUCAUCUCCAAAGGUUACUUUAUAUUGAUUCCCUCCCGUCGAACUCUGUACUUCGAAAACCCCUGAAGACAAAAUUGUGACCAUGUCAUUUUCUAUGUCACUUUCCCACCGCUUCUUUAUGUGGGACACCAUUUUUGCUGGUCUGUUGUAAAGAAAUCUUGGCAGUUCCUCAUUGUAAGCACGGUAGC
rnacentral:lncRNA from 1 species